rnacentral:rRNA from 1 species
CAGCAGCCGCGGUAAUACGUAGGUGGCAAGCGUUGUCCGGAAUUAUUGGGCGUAAAGCGCGCGCAGGCGGUUUAAUAAGUCUGAUGUGAAAGCCCACGGCUCAACCGUGGAGGGUCAUUGGAAACUGUUAAACUUGAGUGCAGGAGAGAAAAGUGGAAUUCCUAGUGUAGCGGUGAAAUGCGUAGAGAUUAGGAGGAACACCAGUGGCGAAGGCGGCUUUUUGGCCUGUAACUGACACUGAGGCGCGAAAGCGUGGGGAGCAAACAGGAUUAGAUACCCGCGUAGUCCCUGUCUCUUAUAC